CUCCCUUUUAAAAGCUCUCACUGGGCCUUUUGCUAGAGACACAUUGAGCUGUCAAGAAGGGACAGAGUAAAACACUGCUUUUGGGUGAAGUGGCAACUUGUGUUGUUUUACUUCAAUUGGCCUUGUGACAAGA
ensembl:snoRNA